rnacentral:rRNA from 1 species
UACGGAGGGGGGCUAGCGUUGUUCGGAAUUACUGGGCGUAAAGCGCACGUAGGCGGCUUUGUAAGUUAGAGGUGAAAGCCUGGGGCUCAACUCCAGAACUGCCUUUAAGACUGCAUCGCUUGAAUCAUGGAGAGGCGGGUGGAAUUCCGAGUGUAGAGGUGAAAUUCGUAGAUAUUCGGAAGAACACCAGUGGCGAAGGCGGCCCGCUGGACCGUAACUGACGCUGAGGCGGCGAAAGCG